UCCCAGAUCGUCAAACGGUCAAGAUUCCGCCCUUUCACGGUGGUGAUUGGGGUUCAAUGCCCCGUCUGGGAG